rnacentral:misc_RNA from 1 species
GGACUCCGUUUGUUACAAAAGGCAAAGAAAGAUAGAUUCGAGAUUGUGACUCGCAAGGAGGGCGACACGCGGCCAAGUAAAAUGCGGCGAACCUUCAGAAGUAUAAACACAGAGCUGGACGAUGAAGACGAUGGGGAGGGGGAUGAUUCUGUCGACUUGGAGCAGAAAAUCAAGGCUGCCAAUAUGCCAGACCAUGCUUACAAAGCAGCCAUGAAGGAACUGAAAAGGUUGAAGAAGAUGCCCCAACAAAUGCCAGAGCAUGCCUUGAUAAGAAAUUAUUUGGAGUUAAUGGUGGAGCUACCAUGGUCCAAAAACAGCAAGGAUGCCUUGGAUGUUUUACAAGCCAGGAAAGAUUUGGACACCGAUCAUUACGGACUGGAUAAACUGAAAAAGAGAGUGAUUGAGUACCUGGCUGUGCGGCAGCUGAAGAAUUCCUUGAAGGGCCCCAUUCUGUGCUUUGUAGGACCCCCAGGGGUGGGGAAGACCAGUGUGGGGAAAUCCAUUGCUCAGACACUUGGCAGAGAAUUCCACAGGAUUGCUCUUGGAGGAAUAUGCGACCAAUCAGAUAUCAGAGGACACAGGAGGACAUAUAUUGGUUCCAUGCCAGGAAGGAUAAUACAGGGUCUACGAUUGGUUGGAGUCAACAAUCCUGUCUUCCUCCUUGAUGAAGUUGAUAAACUGGGCAAGUCUCUUCAUGGGGACCCUGCAGCAGCCCUGCUAGAAGUUUUGGACCCAGAGCAGAACAACACUUUCACCGACCACUAUCUAAAUGUGCCCUUUGACCUAUCACAAGUGUUGUUCAUAGCAACAGCUAACAAUAUGGCCACCAUUCCCCCUGCAUUGUUGGAUAGGAUGGAAAUCAUUCAGAUACCAGGCUAUACACAGGAAGAGAAAGUCACCAUAGCAUUGAGGCACCUACUUCCUAAACAGAUUACAGAAAACGGGCUAACCCAAGAGCAAAUACAGAUACCCGAAGACACACUUAAAGUCAUUGUUGCCAAGUACACGCGGGAGGCUGGGGUUAGGACCCUGGAGCGAAGGAUUGGGGGUGUGUGUCGGGCUGUGGCAGUCAGAGUGGCAGAACAUGCCUCCAAAGCCAAACACGAGAAGAUGGAUGUCGGGGCAGACAAAAAGCAGGUCACCAACACCAACCUGCCUGCCGCUUUAUCACAAGAUGUGUCCACCCUGGCCCAUCCUCCAGAAAUGCCUAUAGUGAUUGAUGAAACAGCUUUGGAAGAUAUUCUUGGGCCCCCUGCCUAUGAGAGUGAAGUGUCCCAGAGACUUGGACAGCCAGGUGUAGCAGUGGGGUUGGCAUGGACCCCCAUGGGUGGGGAGAUUAUGUUUGUGGAGGCCUCACAGAUGGAUGGGGAGGGUAAAGUGACCUUGACAGGACAACUUGGGGAUGUGAUGAAGGAGUCAGCAGAGCUUGCCAUGAACUGGGUCAGGUCCCAUGCGAAAAGGCUUGGCAUUGAGAAGGAAAAGAAAUUAUUGGAGAAGAAGGACAUCCACAUCCACUUCCCUGCUGGGGCAGUCGGGAAAGACGGUCCAUCUGCUGGAGUAACCAUAGCAACUGUUUUGGUGUCAUUGUUUAGUAAGAAGUGUGUCAGGUCAGAUGUGGCCAUGACAGGGGAGAUAACUCUCAGAGGACUAGUGUUACCGGUUGGUGGAAUCAAGGAGAAAGUAUUAGCAGCACAUAGGGCCGGGAUCAGGAGAAUCAUAAUGCCAUACAGAAACGAAAAGGACCUACUCGAAAUCCCCAACAAUAUCAGGCAAGAGCUAACUGUUGUCUUGGCCCAUACAUUGGAUGAUGUGAUACAAGAUGCAUUUAAUGGGGAGUUCACACUCAUGAAGGAACAGCCUGCCACAAGCAAACUUUGAUGUGCAGGGGGAGUACACACUUACAGCUAUGAUUGAACAGCCUUUUGGCAGUAUCAGAGUCUUAACAGCAAACUGCUAAUGUGUAGAUCAUCCAGCUGAUUGAGAUGCAAUUAAUUACAUGAAGUUAAUGAAAAUCCAAAUAUUCAGUGCUUUUGAAUUGUACUGUGUUUACAAAUAUAUCAGCAAGAGCAAUAUUGUUAAUCAAAAUGCUAUUGAAAUUUGUUUUUGAAUCGAACUAAUUUAAGUAGCUAUCAAAUAUACCCAAAUUAAGCCCUCUUUAUAAUGAUUUCCAAGUGAUAUACUUAAGUCAGUGAUAGUUCUUUUUGAUAUAUGUUCACAGAUAAUUUUGAUGCAAAUGUUGAAUAUUUCGCGGUAUAUAUAUUUCUCAAAAUACAAAUAACAUCAAAAGAACUUGUUAAAGGCGAGAAAUAUUGGAGACAAUGAAGUUCUGACAAGUUUUCAAGAAAGUAUAUCACAUAAAUAAAAGUUGAUUUACAGUACAUCAUAUCCAGUUACAGGUAUUGUAAUUUGAUAUUAUUUAAAAAGUAAUUUAUAUUGUUAAACAGAUUUAUGCACAAGAAGUUUUAAGCACAAGUAAUGAAUGAAUCAUAUGGUAUCAUUUUAUUUUUCGGAAAUAAUUAUUUGCUUUUGUUAAUUAUCAAAAAUCACACUUACAAUUACAAAUCUCUUUUUAAAAUCAUAGUUACCUAUGCUGAAUUAUGGAUACCUUAGAAAUAGUGUCUGAUUUAUAUUGUUGAUUGUGAGUUGGUUUUUAUUCCUGUUACAUAUAUUAUUUGUUAUAUUUAAACGAUUGAUUACAAUCAAUUAAAGUCUAAAGAAAUUCUUGCC